GGCCUGGCCCAAGGGUGUCCACAGCGCGCCUGAAAACGGCGGAAGGAAAAGCCGCCGCGAACCCACCUCAGCCAGAGAGUUUGAGCAGAAUUGGCUGGGAAAAAAAAACGUGCGCUUUUAAAGAUAACAACUUUCACUAAUUUUGAAAAGCUACCAUUCUUUGAAAACAAAACAAAAACAGAUAGUGACUUAGACACCUUGGCUGGGGGCCUCCGUGCGUACAAGAGAUGCAGUUGCUUAGCAACCGCCUGGUUGCUUACCCAGUAAAUGCAAAGAGCCACCUAAAUUGAGCCGGGUUGUGUCUCUGUCCCACUCCCCCACCUCUCUUCACUCAUUCCUACUGCUCUCAUAUUUCUGACUCUAGAAACAUAAACGCGGAAACAGCUCUUCCCUUCUGCCCUAAUUCAAAUCAAAACAAACCCCUCCAGUAUUUUUCCGUCUAACUCCACUUCAGCGUUCAAACUGCAGGAGAUAUGAGAGAUUGCUUGGUCCAAUCCAUUCCUUUUAUAGAUGAGAGACUGAGAUAGGCUCCAAAAAGAGAAAAUAUUUGCCCAAAGUUUCCCGGAAUUAGGGACCUGAGUGUUUUGGUUUUGAAUUCUAAAUCUACGAAUUGAUGGCAUUUCCUCCAAAGAGGAUUUGGUUUUUCGAUUUUGGUUUCUUUUGGGCUCUUGCUCUGUAUCCUUGGCUAGCUCCCAGUCCGGCCUCCCCAGUGCUGAGGCUACAGGCAUUUGACACGGUAUACAACAGAAGAACUUUUGAAAUGUCGUCUUCAGGCGCAUGUGUCAUCUGCCAAUGUUUUCCUGUGCACAAUAUUCAUUUUUUUACUUGCUGAAGAUUGAGUCCGGAUUUUUGGCGUGUGUUAGGGUCCAUAUAGCUCAAGCUGACCUUGAACCAUGGAGCCAAAGCUAAUCUUGAAGUUCCUGAUGCUCUCGUCUCUAUCUUCUAAGUGCUGGGGUUACAGAGUCCAAUUAUACUAAGCAUACUGCUAACUUGGUUUACAGAGGCUGUCAUCCUUAGAUCUGGACCACCUCUGUAUCUGCUCGAUUUCUUCAUUUUCCGCAAUUUCCCAUUUACUCUGCUCACCCUACCCAGUAUUCAUCAGGAAUCCUACUUCCUGCCUUGGCUUCCCUCAAUAGACUGUGACCUGGUAUCUGUAAGC